CUCGAUCGUCGGUAUGCAGAGUAGUAAAUACUCCGCUGAAGCAU
rnacentral:rRNA from 1 species